UGGGGAAUUUUGGACAAUGGGCGAAAGCCUGAUCCAGCAGUGCCGCGUGUGUGAAGAAGGCCUUCGGGUUGUAAAGCACUUUUGUCCGGGAAAGAAAUCCUUGGCUCUAAUACAGUCGGGGGAUGACGGUACCGGAAGAAUAAGCACCGGCUAACUACGUGCCAGCAGCCGCGGUAAUACGUAGGGUGCAAGCGUUAAUCGGAAUUACUGGGCGUAAAGCGUGCGCAGGCGGUUUGCUAAGACCGAUGUGAAAUCCCCGGGCUCAACCUGGGAACUGCAUUGGUGACUGGCAGGCUAGAGUAUGGCAGAGGGGGGUAGAAUUCCACGUGUAGCAGUGAAAUGCGUAGAGAUGUGGAGGAAUACCGAUGGCGAAGGCAGCCCCCUGGGCCAAUACUGACGCUCAUGCACGAAAGCGUGGGGAGCAAACAGGAUUAGAUACCCUGGUAGUCCACGCCCUAAACGAUGUCAACUAGUUGUUGGGGGAUUCAUUUCCUUAGUAACGUAGCUAACGCGUGAAGUUGACCGCCUGGGGAGUACGGUCGCAAGAUU
rnacentral:rRNA from 1 species